UGGGAUCUAGGCACCACAGUGAGGUGGCUAAUCGGUUGAGAAUCAAGUGCCAGAUCCCUAGAUUCGUUCCAAGUGAGUGUUUGGGGACGAAUUAUCCAAUUAACGAACAUUCUAAAAUCUAAAUCCUAACUAAACUGUUUAGGGGACUGGGAAUGAGAAUAAUGUCGGAAGUCUUCAAAGAUUGGGAACCAUCCAACCUGAUGAACAUGAAUCUUCAGGGAAAUCAUUUUCUUGCUUUGAAGUGAGUGAUUUUGUAUUUUUGUGUAAUAAGAAUAAUGCAUCUUCUUCUAUAUGAAGUGUUCCCUAUUUAUAGGGUUUUCUGGGGUUUCCUUCUUUGUCUUGCGAAGUCAUUCAGUCUAGUUCAGUCUAGUCCAAUCCUGGUAUUUCCAAUGAUUCAAUCUGAGAGAUUAUAAUAAAAGGGGGGAAUCAUUCUGCAAUGGAUCCAUUUAAUGGAUCAUAGACUCCAAUCUCUAUUCCCCAAUGAAGUUUUGGCUCAACUUUUGUUUC
rnacentral:lncRNA from 1 species